rnacentral:tRNA from 1 species
GCCGGCAUAGCUCAGUGGUAGAGCACCCGAUUUGUAAUCGGGCGGUCGUCGGUUCGAGCCCGACUGCCGGCU